GUCGGGCAUGGUGGCUCAUGCCUGUAAUCCCAGAACUUUGGGAGGCUGAGGUGGGCGGAUCACCUGAGGUCAGGAGUUCAAGACCAGCCUGGCCAACAUGGUGAAACCCCAUCUCUA
rnacentral:sRNA from 1 species